UACAGAGGGUGCGAGCGUUAAUCGGAAUUACUGGGCGUAAAGCGCGCGUAGGCGGCUUUGUAAGUUAGAGGUGAAAGCCCGGGGCUCAACCCCGGAAUAGCCUUUAAGACUGCAUCGCUUGAACACGGGAGAGGUGAGUGGAAUUCCGAGUGUAGAGGUGAAAUUCGUAGAUAUUCGGAAGAACACCAGUGGCGAAGGCGGCUCACUGGACCGUUGUUGACGCUGAGGUGCGAAAGCGUGGGGAGCAAACAGG
rnacentral:rRNA from 1 species